GACGAACGCUGGCGGCGUGCUUAACACAUGCAAGUCGAACGGUGAUGCUCCAGCUUGCUGGAGUGGAUCAGUGGCGAACGGGUGAGUAACACGUGAGCAACCUGCCCCAGACUCUGGAAUAAGCGCUGGAAACGGCGUCUAAUACUGGAUACGAAACUGGCCCGCAUGGGCAUGGUUUGGAAAGUUUUUCGGUUUGGGAUGGGCUCGCGGCCUAUCAGCUUGUUGGUGAGGUAAUGGCUCACCAAGGCGACGACGGGUAGCCGGCCUGAGAGGGCGACCGGCCACACUGGGACUGAGACACGGCGCAGACUCCUACGGGAGGCAGCAGUGGGGAAUAUUGCACAGUGGGCGAAAGCCUGAUGCAGCGACGCCGCGUGAGGGAUGACGGCCUUCGGGUUGUAAACCUCUUUCAGCAGGGAAGAAGCGAAAGUGACGGUACCUGCAGAAGAAGCACCGGCUAACUACGUG
rnacentral:rRNA from 1 species